AUUGAACGCUGGCGGCAUGCCUUACACAUGCAAGUCGAACGGCAGCAUGGGUGCUUGCACCUGAUGGCGAGUGGCGAACGGGUGAGUAAUGCAUCGGAACGUGCCCUGAAGUGGGGGAUAACGUAGCGAAAGUUACGCUAAUACCGCAUAUUCUGUGAGCAGGAAAGAGGGGGAUCGCAAGACCUCUUGCUUUAGGAGCGGCCGAUGUCGGAUUAGCUAGUUGGUGGGGUAAAGGCUCACCAAGGCGACGAUCCGUAGCGGGUCUGAGAGGAUGAUCCGCCACACUGGGACUGAGACACGGCCCAGACUCCUACGGGAGGCAGCAGUGGGGAAUUUUGGACAAUGGGCGCAAGCCUGAUCCAGCCAUGCCGCGUGAGUGAAGAAGGCCU
rnacentral:rRNA from 1 species